AUCAACCCUGUGUAUUUAAGUCUCUGUGCUUCCCUUGGUCCUGGUCAGUUGGUCGUCGUCGUCUGCCUUUCCCACGUCAAUGAUGUCUCCCACUCCAGCCAAUGUUGAUGGUACCUGACCCUCACAGCCAGUUCACAACUGACUGGGCAAUUCAUUGUUGUCAACCCUGAGAGGGGAACAAAAGCCAGCAGUGCAUGUGCUGUUUAAGAAGACAGGGGAAGCUGGUCCAGAAAAAAGCCUGAAGCACCUGUGUCAGCUCCGUCUUUCUGUCUCUGCUGCUGUCCUCAUCACUCAGUUGCAGAACAUGGGUUACCUCCCACCAUCUCCCCUUCACCGUGUCCUCGUCAAGCCCCUGCUCCGUCCAGAGGGAAGCCUCUUACUGCCACUGUACGCACAAACAUUGCAAACAACAGAUACACUCACAGGCUCCGUUUGUAUACAUGUUCACAUCUGAACUCUACAUGCA